rnacentral:rRNA from 1 species
CGGAGGCAGCAGUGAGGAAUAUUGCACAAUGGGCGAAAGCCUGAUGCAGCAACGCCGCGUGAGGGACGAAGGCCCUCGGGUCGUAAACCUCUUUUCUGGGGGAAGAGUAAGGACGGUACCUCAGGAAUAAGUCUCGGCUAACUACGUGCCAGCAGCCGCGGUAACACGUAGGAGGCGAGCGUUAUCCGGAUUUACUGGGCGUAAAGCGCGCGCAGGCGGCUUCGUCAGUCGGACGUGAAAGCUCCCGGCUUAACUGGGAGAGGCCGUUCGAUACUGCGAGGCUUGAGGUUGGGAGAGGGGUGUGGAAUUCCCGGUGUAGUGGUGGAAUGCGUAGAUAUCGGGAGGAACACCUGUGGCGAAAGCGGCACCCUGGCCCACACCUGACGCUGAGGUGCGAAAGCGUGGGUAGCAAACAGGAUUAGAUACCCCCGUAGUCCA